GCAACAUUUUGUCCGUCUUUACAUUCUGAGCUCAAAUUCUGCCAAGCUCAACUUUACCUUUCAUUUCUUUGGUGACUGAUAAAAUAAGCAACACUCAUGUACUAGGGUCAGUGUAAUCAACUCAUUUUCUCCCUCCCUUCAAAAACAGCUGGCCUUGUGCCAAAAUUUGAAGCCAUCAUUAUUAUCAUUGUGUUGGUGAAAUUCCAGUGUAUGAGUGAAUAUAGUUAUGUUCUUUUACAUUUUUUUUUUAUUACAACCCCUGCCAGAGCCGACUUUUGCCUUUCACUGUUCUCAGUUGAUAAAAGCAAUACCAGCCAAGUACUGGGGGCCAUUUAAACUGACUACUGACCUAUCCCCUUCAAUUUCUGGUUUUGUGCCAAUGAUAAUAGCAUAAUUACUAGCAUAGUUAAAAAAAACAAGCCUUGCAGUAUUUGUUCUGGCUCUAUGAUUUAAAUCCAGAUCCUACCAAGGUCAGCUUUGCCUUUCAUUCAUACAGGAUCGAUAAAAUAAAGUGCCAGUCAAGUACUGGCAGCAAUAUCUCAACUUCCUACCCUCAAAAGUGCUGGCCUUGUGCAGGCUUUAUUAGGGUAGUGGUUGAUUGGCAAAUCAUUACAAUAUUGGGCAAAAUGUCUUGCAGUGUUUGUUUUGGCUCUUUAUGUUCUGAGUUCAAAUCCUAUCAAAGUCAACUUUGCCUUUCAUCUUUCUGAAGUCAAUGAAAUAAAAAUACCAACCAUUUACUUGGGGUCAAUUUAAUUGACUAACCUACUUCCUCAAAAUUUCUGUAUUUAUGUUAGAAAUGAUUGUUAUGAUUCCGGUGAAUUAUCAGAAACAGUUGUGUCUCACUCUAAAUACCUUGAUGUAUUUAGUUACAGUUCUAAAUGUUUUCAAUUAAAAUUAGGGGGCCAAAUGUAAUGAUGUGUAGAAGGGUGGAAGGUUGAUAAAAUAAGAAACAGGUAUUUACUGGCAUUGAUUCAAUUGAUUACACCCUCUUUUCUUUUAGUUUUGUGAAUCAGCAAAAUAAAUACCAGUAACAGUUUGUGAUCAACUCAAGUAGCCAUUAAUUCUAUCCUACAAAAACUGGUUUUGUACCUAAAAGAAAUCUAUUAAGGGUAAUGGAUUGGCAAAGUCAUUAGCACAUCAGACAAAAUGUUUAGUGGCAUUUCUUCUAGCUUUAUUUUCUGAGUUCUAAUGCCACUAAAGUUGACUUUACCUUUCAUUUUUUCAGGGUCAAUAAAAUAAAGUACCAGUCAAGUACUGGGGGUGGAUGUAAUCGACUAAUCCCUUCCCCCAAAAUUUUAGGCCUUGUGCAUAUAGUAGAAAGGAUUAUUAUUAUUGUGUUCAAUACAUUGAGAUCAUUUUAGCCCCAUCAUCUAUCAGGGUUCAGUAAAAAAAUUAUGUGAUAUAUAGUAGGCGAAGGUCAGUUGCCUUUUUGUUGAUUGACAACACAACCACAACUUUCCUCUGAAAAUUACUAAUUUGUGCCAAUGUAAGAAACAUUCAUUAUUAUUUGAGCAAACUUGUUAGAGUGUUAAGAAAAUGCUCCAUGGCAUUUUUUCUAGCUGGCAUUCUGGGUUCAAAUCCUGUCAAUGUCAACUUUGCCUUUCAUCCUUUUAGAAGUCAAAAAGUGAAGUACCAGUCAAGAAAUGGGGUUAAUAUAAUCAAAAUUGCUGGCCUUGUACCUAAAUUAGAAACAAUUUUUAUUAUCUUAAUUCUAUUUGUGAUGGUGAACAUGAUCAAUAAUUUACUAUUUCUACUCUCGAAUAAUUCUUACAUUAAUGGCUAAUUAAACAAAUUACAUCCUCAUUAUUGUGGUCAGUGGCAGAGUGCCAAGUAAUCCAAGUCUUCGACUUGAUUUCAAUUCUGUUAUAGGACCAUUUCUCUUUGCUCACUAGCAUUUUUGUGAAAACCAUUUACAGCACAUUAUCACAGUUCUCCUCUAAUAAUUCUGAGGCUUCACACACAUUUGGAAAAUAAUCAUCAUCAUUUAUUGUUGAGCUGGCAGAGAUGGUACAGUGCCGGACCAAAUGCCCUGUGGUAUUUAGUUAUGUUCCUUCAUGUUUUGAAUUCAAAUCCUGCUGGGUUUGACAUCGCUUUUCAUCCUUCUGGACUCAAUAAAAAUGGGUACCAGCUUUGUACAGGGGUUCAAUUCAAUUGACUAUUGUACUCCUACAAUUUGUGGCCUUGUGCCAAUGUAUGAAAUCAUUAUUAUUAUUGAAAAAAAAAAAGUUAAAUCUUUAAUUCUGUAUCAUAAACAUGUAUAAAUUGGUGUAUAUAAAUAAGCUAGUUCAUAGC